UUAAGCAAAAAUGAAAAUAAUAAAAAUCGAUGCGAGUUAUCAAAUUGUUCUUAAGUCAUCUAUCUGUUAUCAAAUAAUGUUUAUUAAAUAACUAUUGGUAACAAUAAUACAGUUUUAAAUAAGAUUACAUUACGCUACUUAUGAAGUUAUGAAUGAGUGAUAAUUACUACACACAGUUUCAAUAUUUUUUUUUUUACAUCAAUAAAUAGACUAUAUAUCUGACAUUGCUCAUUGUACAGCUUCAUUUCAGAGCUACCUAUCAAACAUUAUUCAAUGGUCUUUGCGUCAGCACUUCCAUUACCAAAUUCAAUCAUUUCGAUCUUGUUAUUCUUGUUGGGCUCUAAUGAUAUUUAUUUGUUACCAAAUCAGUGAUUUUCUUUUUUGAUUACAAUCUACAUAGUAUCUGUAAUCUGCAGCAUACUAUAGGUUUCCGAUUUGCUCAUAUUUUUAUUACAUAUUUGUUUGCGUAAUUAUAUCUACUUUAAUAAGUGCAUAAUAUAUUAUUUACAUACUAUUUAUAUUUGUUAUUAAUACAGUUAGUAGUGACUAGUGACAAUCAUUUUACAAUACUACAAUCGUAUAGUGACGAGCUUUUAUUCAUUAUAUUUCGUAAUUAGUAAAAUCAUAACGGAAAAAUAGUAAAAAAUUAAAUAACUAUAUGGAGUGUUAUUUUAGAGAAUUUGUAUGUAAUAUUUUGUUUUGAAAUAGUACAAAUUAACAAUAAAAUAUUGUACAACAUCAUAAUUUUGUUAAAUUAUUGUUGAUAUUACGUUACUUAGUUAAUAAGUUAAGUGACUAAAUAGUAUUAUAUCUAACAUUAAAUACUAUCAACGAGUUAGGUAAUUAAUAAAUUUGAUAAAGCGUGUAAACAAAACAUAUGAAUUAGACCUUAUCAUUAAUUAAUUAUCUCUAUUCAGACUAUUUAUCAACAAAAAAUUGUUUAUGGUUACAAUCGGGAUUAUAUAUUAUAUUUUGUAUAUCUUUACGUAAUCUUGUAAUAUAUUAUAUUGUGUAUAAUAUAUAAUAUAGAUAUACCUGUUUGUGGUAAUUAAAAUUUUUAACUAGCAAUAUGCCUUCCCCAAUUAUUAUUAUAAUUGUUAUAAUUAUUAUUACUAUUAUUUUUAUUUGCUGUAAGUAAUAUUUGAAUUAUUACAUAAUUGUUACAAACUCUGCCAUACCAACCCUGUUAAUUUAGUAAUAGUUGAUACUUUAUAAGAUGUUAAGUUUUUAAUUUGUUACAAUCUAUGAAUAGUGGUCAAAACAAAUUAUUUUUGAACGCAAAUGUUUAAUUGUAUUCAGCAGUGGUGUAAUUGUGGAGAAAUGGAAGGCCAAAAUAAAAUGCAUCUUCAACAAAAACCUCCAAAAAAAAAGAAAAAAAUUGUAUAUUUUUUUAUGCAGAUCAUGGAUGUAAAAAUUCCAUAACAAUUUAACUCCAUUAUGACGUAAAAAUACAAUUUAGAACUUUAACAAUAGUAUAACAGAAAAAAAAUACCCAUAAUAGCUUAUUUAUAAAAAAAAUACCAUAUUAAGUAUUUAUAGUUGAUAAAUUUAAUACAUUAUUAAAAAAUUUAAAAAAAAUAGCAUUUUAAAUUAUCUAAGACUAACUACAUUUAUUUAGUACUAUAGAAUAUUAGUAUAUUAGUAUCUUAAUAUAAUUUGAAUAUAUUAUAUUAUAUUUUAUAAGAAAAAACGCUUAUAGUUUAAUAUCAAAUUAAACUUGCAGACAAAAAAAUAGUAAGUCUGCCCGGACUGCGCAUAAAAUACAACUAUAUACAAUAAAUAUGAUUUUAAAUGAUAUAUUUAAUCAUGCAACUAUGUGAGACUAAUGCUAUAUAUAUAUAUAUAUAUAUAAUAUUUUUAGUAGGUACUAGUUGAAUUAUAAGAAAUUCAAAAGUUUGUAAUGUUAAAUAUGGGGGGGGUCAAAUAAUAAGUUGCCCCCAGUAAAAUGCCUGUGGGGCAAAUGCUCACCCUUGCCACCCCGCAAUUACGCCACUAGUAUAAAGUAUUUUAAUAUAUUAUAUGUUAACUAUAUAGUAUGUUAUUAAUAAACUGCAAAUAUUGCAUUGUUAAAAA